rnacentral:tRNA from 1 species
GCGCCAGUAUCCCCCUCCGCUACGAACGGAGACGAAGGUAAUGGAUAGGAAGAUGUGGGUUCGAGUCCCUCCUGGCGCUCCA